rnacentral:lncRNA from 1 species
AGUUUUUGGCCGGGGACUCGUGGUUUAACUUAUCUAGUAGUGUAACCUGAUUAAGUUUGACUUGAUUGUAUAUAUCUUUUUAUCUUUUUUUAUCUUUUUAUUUUUUUAUUUCUUUUAAAAAUAUAAAAAAGUGCUACUAUGGUUUGUGUUUCUUGUGCAUGCAGCAGGAGACUAGACAUACUAGAAGCAAGAAAAAUACGCAACCUCUUCUUGAAGGCUUAAGCGAAGCAAAAGGGAGAAGAAGAGUCAGACGCCU